UCUAGCAUGUGCGCCAGUCYUUKAGAUACUCUUACGAAAGCUUAAAGGCGCAAUGAAAGUGAAGGUCGGCCUUACGGCACGACCGAGGGAGGAUGGCUCGCGCUCUGGCGCGAGCCCGCACUCCCGGGGCGUCUCGCGCUCAUCGCGAGCGGAGGCGCACCCAGAGCGUACACGCUGGGACCCGAAAGAUGGUGAACUAUGCCUGGUCAGGACGAAGUCAGGGGAAACCCUGAUGGAGGUCCGUAGCGAUUCUGACGUGCAAAUCGAUCGUCGGAACUGGGUAUAGGGGCGAAAGACUAAUCGAACCAUCUAGUAGCUGGUUCCCUCCGAAGUUUCCCUCAGGAUAGCUGGCACUCGCUUGAGCGAGUCUCAUCUGGUAAAGCGAAUGAUUAGAGGCCUUGGGGCCGAAACGACCUCAACCUAUUCUCAAACUUUAAAUGGGUGAGAUCUCUGGCUUGCUUAAACUUGAAGCCACGAGAUAUCAUGAAUA
rnacentral:rRNA from 1 species